rnacentral:rRNA from 1 species
UACGUAGGUGGCAAGCGUUGUCCGGAUUUACUGGGCGUAAAGAGCGCGCAGGCGGUCGUUCAAGUCGCGUGUGAAAGCCCCCCGGCUCAACUGGGGAGGGUCACGCGAUACUGAUCGACUCGAAGGCAGGAGAGGGUAGUGGAAUUCCCGGUGUAGUGGUGAAAUGCGUAGAUAUCGGGGAGGAACACCAGUGGCGAAGGCGACUACCUGGCCUGUUCUUGACGCUGAGGCGCGAAAAGCUAGGGGAGCAAACGGGG